GGUCACUCAAGAGGGUUUGCUGAAGAAAUUUAAACUAACCACUACAAUUAGCACAACUACUAUGCACCUAUUUGACCCAAGAGGCGUGAUUAAGAAGUAUGACAACCCGGAGCAAAUUCUGGAAGAUUUUUUUCAUUUAAGACUUGAAUUUUAUGAGAAAAGAAAGAAAUUUCUACUGAACAAACGUGAAAUGGAGUUGUUGAAGUUAGAAAACAAGGUUAGGUUUAUCCUUGCAAUUGUGAAGGGAGAGAUCAUUGUAAGUAAUAGGAAGAGAGCUGAUCUGUUUGUUGAGCUGCGAACGAAAGGAAACUCCAAAGUCCUUUUGGAGGAUAGAUGUUGAUGCGCUGACCAUUGAGAAGGUUCAGGAGUUAUGCACUGAAAGGGAUAAGGUCAAUAAGGAGGUUGAUGAUUUGAGAAAGGAAACUCCAAAGUCCUUUUGGAGGACAGAUGUUGAUGCUUUGGAGGGGUAACUCAAUGUAUGACUGAAAAAUUAACAAUUCCUUGUGAUGAUUUGUUUAUUUUUGUGUCUUUCUAUUUCUUGACUGUUUUUAGUUUUAUGUCCUUUAGGAGCUAGAGAAAAGUGAUGUGAGUCAGAGGAGUUAAGAAAGAAAAUGAGAGGCAAAGCAAGGGGUGAAGCUGCUAUGAAGUCUGCUAGACAAGCACCCAAGAACCCACGGAAGAACAAUAAUAAGAAGGGAAAUAAUGCAGAAUCUAUUGCAGAAGCUGUCUCGUCAUCUGUGGCUGCAAUGGAAAUUGGUAAGUGUGAAAAAAUAUUAUGUUUAUUAUAUGUAUUAGUUUUUGUUUGAUUUUUGGUUUACAUCUGCUUCAUUUACCAAAGAAAGCUCCUAAGGCAGCAAAACCCAAAGACAGAGCAGGCUCUAGGAAAGCUCCUGCUAAGGUCUGUUUCUGUUCCUAUGUUCUAUUUUUCCUUGGAAAGGAUGAGCUUAAAGAACGACUUGCUGCCUAUAACCUCGAUGCAUCUCCUGAUCAAUCAGCCGCCAUGGAGACUGAAGUGCCCAAAGUACCGGCCAAGAAGAAAGAACCUAGCAAAAGGGCUGCUGCUGCAUAGAAGAAGAAGGCCUUGGCAACUGUUUCGGAGAUAUCUGAUGAUGAUGAUGAUGAUUAUAAUGAUAUUAAUGAAAUUGAUGAUGAUGAUGAUGAUGAUGAUGAAGAUAGUGAGAUAGAAGUUGUAGCUACUCCAGAAGCCAGGAAAAAGGGCGGGGGAAAACUGGCUGCAAAUGCUAAGGCAGUUAAGGCCCCUGCAGCGGCAAAGAAGAGAGGUACAGCCAAUAAGCAGCAGCCUCAGACAUUGGGCCAGAAGCUUUUAACUGACAUGUUAAAAGCCUGCUGAAAAUUCCGGGAUUUCACCAGAGAAGAAACUGAGAAAGAUGAGGGCAUCUCCAUUCAACAAGAAAAGUGGUUCUGUGUUGGGAAGGGUUGGUAAGGUAAAUGAAGUGACUGAAAAUGAAGAAAAUUCGGGUUCUGCUUCUACUUCUGCCAGUACUGAAGAAACUAUUGAAGUUGCACCACCAAGAGCAAGACCUCAAAGGGUGAACCAUGCGCAGACAAGGUAUGUGUUGAGUGACUCUGAAAGUGAACAUGCCACUGAGGAUUCUGAAUUUGAUGAAGUGACUGAUGAAAGUGAAAACAAGAAAACAAAAACAAAAAACAAAAAUAGCAUCACCUCAUAAGAAAGCACAUUCAGGCAAUUUUUUAUGCCCAGUUGUGCUUUUGCUUGCUAAGCUUAACUUCUUUUUGUGCUUUCAGAAAGAGUAUGACAGAAUAUGAUCCGCGUCUUGUGGCUCCAACCUGCUUGUACCUGGCAUCAAAAGCAGAAGAAAGCACAGUGCAGGCCAGGCUUCUUGUAUUUUACCUUAAAAAAUUAUAUGCUGAUGAAAAGUAUGACUCAAUUAACUUGGUGCUAUGGGCCAGGUAGUUGCCCAUCAAAGAGGGUCGCAUGGGCUAGAGAAUUGAUAGACGAAGAAGCAGAACAGUUCCUCAUGCAUCGUUUCAUUGACCCAGAUUCACAAAGACCUUGGCUUGCCCAGAGAAUGGCCUUGAGGAUACCAUAUUCUGCGUAAAGUUAAUGGAAGGAGACCUGCUUAUGCUUCCCAGCAACUAAUAUAAGAUCUGCAUAAUACGUUUCAUUUUUAAGUCUUUGAUUGGUCAAGUUAUGAGAGAAUAGCAUGGUGCCUUUUGAUGUAUGAACUUCCUCUAUAGAUUGUUUGGCUUAUAUUUUGUGAACUUGUCCGAUCAGCUUGUGUUAAGAUUCUUUCAAAUAGUGUUUCAAAAGGGAUAGUAUCAUUUUGAGCAAUUCGUGACUGAUGGUUUUGUAGAAGCAAGAUGGUUUCUCCAUUUGAAAAACCAGUUUUAGUUUCUCGGAACAAGCAGUGAGCAUUUUAUAGUUGGGCAUUAAUAGGUCUCAUGUUGACUGCCAUGAAGAUCAAAACUAUAAACACAUGGGUUAUGACUUUAUGUUAAGUGCCAACUUUGGCAUCAACUUUAGCUCU